GGCGAACGGGUGAGUAACACGUGGGUAACCUGCCCAUAAGAGGGGGAUAACAUCCGGAAACGGGUGCUAAUACCGCAUAGUUUUCUUGAUCGCAUGAUCGGGAAAGGGAAAGACGGCCUUUGUGCUGUCGCUUAUGGAUGGACCCGCGGCGUAUUAGUUAGUUGGUGAGGUAACGGCUCACCAAGACGAUGAUACGUAGCCGACCUGAGAGGGUGAUCGGCCACAUUGGGACUGAGACACGGCCCAAACUCCUACGGGAGGCAGCAGUAGGGAAUCUUCCGCAAUGGACGAAAGUCUGACGGAGCAACGCCGCGUGAGUGAAAGAAGGUUUUCGGAUCGUAAAACUCUGUUGUCAGAGAAGAACAAGUUGGAGAGUAACUGCUCCAGCCUUGACGGUAUCUGACCAGAAAGCCACGGCUAACUACGUGCCAGCCGCCGC
rnacentral:rRNA from 1 species